AAAGGUUUCCUAUAAAAGCUAGCAGCUGUCUCUGUUAAAUAUAUUAAAUCUAAACAAUUCUUAGUUGUGUGUAAUAGCUAAGUGCCCUUCAGCACAGACUAACCCAAGAGAAUCCUUUCACGUAUUAUGUCCAAAAAUUCCUUUUAAAACCCAGGUAUAAGGCCAGACACGGUGGCUCAUACCUAUCAUCCCAGCACUUUGGGAAGCCAAGGUGGAAAGAUUGCUUGAAGCUAGGAAUUGGAGACCAGCCUGGACAACAUAGCGAGAUCCUAUCUCUAAAAAUAACAACAAUAAUAAUAAUGCAUCUAUAGUCCCAGCUACUUGAGAUGCUAAGGCAGGAAGAUCAUUUUCACCCAGGAGUUCAAGGUUACAGGGAAUUGCAUCACUGCACUCCAGCCUGGGCAGCAGAGUGAGACCCUAUCUCUAAAUAAAUAAACAAACAGACAAACAAAAACCAACUUAGGUAUAUUUUAGGUCAUUCUGGAGACUCAUAUAUGAAAUAAUGUUGCUCAUCUAAGUUCUGGGUUUAGUUCCAUUUCUGCCCUGGCAACUCAGAGAAAUCAUAAUCUUCUUAAGGUCACCAGGUCCUAUUUUGAUACAAGAAGAAAUCCAAUAUAACCGAAAGUCAUUUUUAAGACUAAAUUGUUGGGAUUACAGGCGUGAGCCACCACACCCGGCCCAUAUUCCAUUUUUAUGUGUAAACAUGAUAGCAUUUGCAAUAAGGCACAAACCUAAAUACAGCAACCUUGUGAGAAACAUUUUCUAUAUACUCACUUUCUAAAAAUCAUAACUUUUCUUGAACUCAUCAAAAGCUGAGGUUGCAGGGCAACCAAUUAGCCUGAAAUCCAAGGAAAAACAGAGAUUUUCAGAAAAAAAAGAGGAUUUAAGUACUGGCUUACCUGUGGUGGAGCACACGAGGAAGAGAUGCCAGACAUCUAUGUGCUGAC
rnacentral:lncRNA from 1 species